rnacentral:tRNA from 1 species
GCGGUGUUGAUGUAAUGGUAGCAUUGGAGUUUUCCAAACUCUUCGUCUCGGUUCGAGUCCGUGACGCCGCUCCA